CAUUUGGUGUUCAAUGGGGAGGAGUCAUUCGUAGAAGUAUUGAAUGAGUAGCUCCUCCUUCAUUUAGUGUUGUGG